rnacentral:rRNA from 1 species
AGUGAACGCUGGCGGUAGGCCUAACACAUGCAAGUCGAACGGCAGCACAGUAAGAGCUUGCUCUUACGGGUGGCGAGUGGCGGACGGUUGAGGAAUACAUCGCAAUCUACUUUUUCGUGGGGGAUAACGUAGGGAAACUUACGCUAAUACCCCAUACGACCUACGGGUGAAAGCAGGGGAUCUUCGGACCUUGCGCGAUUGAAUGAGGCGAUGUCUGAUUAGCUAGUUGGCGGGGUAAAGGCCCACCAAGGCGACGAUCCUUAGCUGGUCUGAGAGGAUGAUCAGGCAAACUGGAACUGAGAAACGGUCCAGACUCCUAAGGGAGGCAGCAGUGGGGAAUAUUGGACAAUGGGCGAAAGCCUGAUCCAGCCAUGCCGCGUGGGUGAAGAAGGGCUUCGGGUUGUAAAGCCCUUUUUGUUGGGAAGAAAAGCAGGAAGUUAAUACCCCGCUGUUCUGACGGUACCAAAAGAAUAAGCACCGGCUAACUUCGUG